rnacentral:rRNA from 1 species
GGGUUGUGAGGUUAAGCGACUAAGCGUACACGGUGGAUGCCCUGGCAGUCAGAGGCGAUGAAGGACGUGCUAAUCUGCGAUAAGCGUCGGUAAGGUGAUAUGAACCGUUAUAACCGGCGAUUUCCGAAUGGGGAAACCCAGUGUGUUUCGACACACUAUCAUUAACUGAAUCCAUAGGUUAAUGAGGCGAACCGGGGGAACUGAAACAUCUAAGUACCCCGAGGAAAAGAAAUCAACCGAGAUUCCCCCAGUAGCGGCGAGCGAACGGGGAGGAGCCCAGAGCCUGAAUCAGUGUGUGUGUUAGUGGAAGCGUCUGGAAAGGCGCGCGAUACAGGGUGACAGCCCCGUACACAAAAAUGCACAUGCUGUGAGCUCGAUGAGUAGGGCGGGACACGUGGUAUCCUGUCUGAAUAUGGGGGGACCAUCCUCCAAGGCUAAAUACUCCUGACUGACCGAUAGUGAACCAGUACCGUGAGGGAAAGGCGAAAAGAACCCCGGCGAGGGGAGUGAAAAAGAACCUGAAACCGUGUACGUACAAGCAGUGGGAGCAUGCUUAGGCGUGUGACUGCGUACCUUUUGUAUAAUGGGUCAGCGACUUAUAUUCUGUAGCAAGGUUAACCGAAUAGGGGAGCCGAAGGGAAACCGAGUCUUAACUGGGCGUUAAGUUGCAGGGUAUAGACCCGAAACCCGGUGAUCUAGCCAUGGGCAGGUUGAAGGUUGGGUAACACUAACUGGAGGACCGAACCGACUAAUGUUGAAAAAUUAGCGGAUGACUUGUGGCUGGGGGUGAAAGGCCAAUCAAACCGGGAGAUAGCUGGUUCUCCCCGAAAGCUAUUUAGGUAGCGCCUCGUGAACUCAUCUCCGGGGGUAGAGCACUGUUUCGGCAAGGGGGUCAUCCCGACUUACCAACCCGAUGCAAACUGCGAAUACCGGAGAAUGUUAUCACGGGAGACACACGGCGGGUGCUAACGUCCGUCGUGAAGAGGGAAACAACCCAGACCGCCAGCUAAGGUCCCAAAGUCAUGGUUAAGUGGGAAACGAUGUGGGAAGGCCCAGACAGCCAGGAUGUU